GACGAACGCUGGCGGCGUGCUUAACACAUGCAAGUCGAACGAAGAGCGAUGGAAGCUUGCUUCUAUCAAUCUUAGUGGCGAACGGGUGAGUAACGCGUAAUCAACCUGCCCUUCAGAGGGGGACAACAGUUGGAAACGACUGCUAAUACCGCAUACGAUCUAAUCUCGGCAUCGAGGAUAGAUGAAAGGUGGCCUCUACAUGUAAGCUAUCACUGAAGGAGGGGAUUGCGUCUGUUUAGCUAGUUGGAGGGGUAACGGCCCACCAAGGCGAUGAUCAGUAGCCGGUCUGAGAGGAUGAACGGCCAAAUUGGGACUGAGACACGGCCCAGAAUCCUACGGGAGGCAGCAGUGGGGAAUCUUCCGCAAUGGACGAAAGUCUGACGGAGCAACGCCGCGUGAGUGAUGACGGCCUUCGGGUUGUAAAGCUCUGUUAAUCGGGACGAAAGGCCUUCUUGCGAAUAGUGAGAAGGAUUGACGGUACCGGAAUAGAAAGCCACGGCUAACUACGUG
rnacentral:rRNA from 1 species